CUGGGCCUUGUUUAGUUCCGGAAAAUGAAAAGUUUUCGGUAAUGUAGCAGUUUCGUUUGUUUGUGACAAAUAUUAUCCAAUUAUGGACUAACUAGGAUCAAAAGAUUAGUCUCGUGAUUUACAGCUAAACUAUGUAAUUAGUUUUUAUUUUCGUCUAUAUUUAAUGUUUCAUGCAUGUGCCACAAGAUUCAAUGUGACGGAGAAUCUUGAAAACUUUUUGGUUUUCAGGGUGAAAUAAACAAGUCCCUGGUUUGCUUGGCUCUCAACCUCCCUUUUCCCCCUUGUGCAUGUCGGUGGUCUGGACGAUGAAACAUGAAUUGAGAGUCUGUAUAACGAGUUAACGACGAGUCGGGCACAAUUACCCUCAAAAAAGAAAAAAAAACGAGUCGAGCAC
rnacentral:lncRNA from 1 species